UGCUUUGUGUUCUGUCUCGCCUUCUUCUAACCGUGGAAGUGAGUGUUAUAACCAUAUCAAUCAAUAAUCAUACCAGUUCUCCUUCAUUAUAGCCAUGACUUAUGCUAUGUGAUUCUUUGCAGUUAAUGGAAAACAGAGAUAUUUUCUCAAAUACUCUCAUCUGUCAAUUGGUUGAUUUCAUAGUGUUUGGAUGAAUGCAUACAAGAUGUUUGGAUGUCUCCGUCUUCACUCUUAUCAACGCUAAAGAUACACACAAGGUUAGACAAUAAAGAGCGGCAAAAAAAUCGCUUCUUUCAGUCUCCAUAUUCGUGCA